AGAACGAACGCUGGCGGCAGGCUUAACACAUGCAAGUCGAACGCCCCGCAAGGGGAGUGGCAGACGGGUGAGUAACGCGUGGGAAUCUACCUAGUUCUACGGAACAACAGUUGGAAACGACUGCUAAUACCGUAUACGCCCUAAGGGGGAAAGAUUUAUCGGAAUUAGAUGAGCCCGCGUAAGAUUAGCUAGUUGGUGGGGUAAUGGCCUACCAAGGCGACGAUCUUUAGCUGGUCUGAGAGGAUGAUCAGCCACACUGGGACUGAGACACGGCCCAGACUCCUACGGGAGGCAGCAGUGGGGAAUAUUGGACAAUGGGCGCAAGCCUGAUCCAGCCAUGCCGCGUGAGUGAUGAAGGCCUUAGGGUUGUAAAGCUCUUUCAGUGGGAAGAUAAUGACGGUACCCACAGAAGAAGCUCCGGCCAACUACGCGCCAGCAGCCGC
rnacentral:rRNA from 1 species